GCCCCUUAAAUAGGGACUUGUAUCAACGGCAUCACGAGGGUUAUACUGUCUCCCCCAUCUAAUCAAUGAAACUGACCUCCCCGUGAAGAGACGGGGAUACAACUACAAGACGAGAAGACCCCAUGGAGCUUUAAACCCAAUGACAACCUCUACUCAAGCACUUCCACAUAAAUAUAAAGCAAUGUACAUUGGUUUUAGGUUGGGGUGACCACGGAGCAAAACUAAACCUCCAUGACGAAUAGGAGUAUCCUAAUCCACGAACUGCCACUCUAAGAAUCAAAAAUUUGACGUAAUAUGAUCCGGUAGCCGAUCAACGAACCAAGUUACCCUGGGGAUAACAGCGCAAUCCAUUUCAAGAGCUCCUAUCGACAAAUGGGUUUACGACCUCGAUGUUGGAUCAGGGUAUCCCAGUGGUGCAGCCGCUACUAAAGGUUUGUUUGUUCAACAAUUAAAACCCU
rnacentral:rRNA from 1 species